rnacentral:tRNA from 1 species
GCAGUCGUGGUCCAGUGGUUAAGGCGAUGGACUAGAAGUCCAUUGGGGUCUCCUGGCACAGGUUCGAAU